AAGACCUUGCACCUUUGGAGCGGCCGAUGUCUGAUUAGCUAGUUGGUGGGGUAAUGGCCUACCAAAGCUUCGAUCAGUAGCUGGUCUGAGAGGACGGCCAGCCACACUGGGACUGAGACACGGCCCAGACUCCUACGGGAGGCAGCAGUGGGGAAUUUUGGACAAUGGGCGCAAGCCUGAUCCAGCCAUGCCGCGUGAGUGAAGAAGGCCUUCGGGUUGUAAAGCUCUUUCAGCCGGGAAGAAAAGGUUGCGACUAAUAAUCGCAAUCCAUGACGGUACCGAAAGAAGAAGCACCGGCUAACUACGUGCCAGCAGCCGCGGUAAUACGUAGGGUGCAAGCGUUAAUCGGAAUUACUGGGCGUAAAGCGUGCGCAGGUGGUUUUGUAAGUCAGAUGUGAAAUCCCCGGGCUUAACCUGGGAACU
rnacentral:rRNA from 1 species